rnacentral:lncRNA from 12 species
AUAUAUAUAUAUAUAUAUAUAUAUAUAUAUAUAUAUAUAUAUAUAUAUAUAUAUAUAUAUAUAUAUAUAUAUAUAUAUAUAUAUAUAUAUAUAUAUAUAUAUAUAUAUAUAUAUAUAUAUAUAUAUUAUAUAUAUAUAUAUAUAUAUAAAUGUUUCCUCCUGUAGAUCCCAAUACAAUUGUUCGCAAUGGAAAGACCUGUUACUAUUGUGAUGGAUACAGCUGCUCAAACAUACUGAGCUGUUCAGGGAGUGAAGACCGCUGCAUUACAGCAACAGGGUCUGUUGAAGGAAGCGCAGCGGUGGUAAAAGGCUGUGUCUCUAAAUCCAUUUGUGAUUCUAAAACAUUAGCUAAUAGCAUUCAGGACAUCUCAUGUUGUAAGGGGAACCUGUGUAACGGUGAUGAAAGUGUAACCCAGAGCGUCACCGAGAGCGUCACCCAAAGCUACAUCCAGAACAUUACCCAGAGUUUCAUGUAUAGCAGUGAUGAAAGUCUUACCCAGAGUUUCAUCCAGAUUGUCAAGUAUAAUGAUGCUAAGAGUGCCACGUAUAGCGAUGCUAAGAGUAUCAAGAAGAGCUUCAUGUAUGAUGAUGCUAAGAGUACAACUUAUAAUGUUGCUCAGAGUGUCUCUCAGAGCUUCCUGUUCCUCUGCUGUUCUCUGCUCUCCUUCAUCCUGCUGCACUGAAUCCAGCAGCUCUGGAGAUUCUGCUGCAAAGCCACAAUGUGACAUUCUGAAUAUACUGUAGCUUGUGUUUCUUUGUUUUAUCGUUACAUGAAAUUAUCACAUAUGUAAGUCCUCUAUGAUAGCUUUCUGCUAAAAAAAAAAAAAAAGGUUGACAUUUUGCUGGAUACAGAGCUAUGGCUAGUAAAAAUCUGAGGAAAAACCCACUUUAUUCAUGCAUUUUGAGAAAUUAACAAAUGUAAUGUAAGCAAAUAAUAAAAAUAAAAAAGGUAUUUAACAGUAAUUAUGUUUAUGAUUGAUACACCGGAACAUCAAGCUAUGUGUUUGAUUAGAACAGUGGUUCUCAACCAAUAGGGGCCUUUGCAAAUUUAAGGGGGCUCCAAGACUUAUAAUAAUUUAAAUUUAGUAACAGGGCUGCAGACUGUGACCUUUUUCCUGGUGGUAUCUGAAAUACACAAUUGAGUUUAUAGUUACAGUGUGUCUCUUCCAUUUGUUCCAUCCAUUUGUAAAUGUUUAUAAAAACAAUCAUGUUUAUUAAGGCCAAAAGUACUAAAAGUGGACAGUGAGUUCUUCACAAUGUUAAAAAAAAAACAUGAGGUGACUUUUAUAGCUACAGAUUUGAAAAACCUAAAGAAUCCUAAAUAGUCCUCUUACUAUGUGUAAAGAACUUUUAAAGAACUAUCUUUUUUUUAGAGAACUCCUGAAUUUAAGCUUGAGCAGCAAGAAAAAAGAGUGUUUUUAUUGUAAAGAAAUUGAUCAACAAUUAAUAUGCAAUUUUUUAUUACUAAAUAAUUUCCUUGAUCAGAUUGCGUGUAUAAGUGAAGCUUCCCCCUACUGUUGUCUCCUCCAUAGACAUAAUAAAUAAAAGGUAUAUAUAUGUCUAUGGUCUCCUCUGUUCUUCUACAUCCUGUUUCACUUGUGCAGAUUCAGCUGCAAAGACAACCGCAAAACUGAAUGUCACAUGCAUUUUGAUUCAUGCUUGACUAAAUAAAGCUUCUUUUGUUGGUCUGCUGCUCUUUAUCAUGCUUUGGGGAUUGGAAGACCUGUAUUUUAUUAAAUAAUCAACAAAAUACGGCUACACUCUAAAAACUAAAUUUUAUGAAGCAAGGAUAUCUGCAAAUUUCCUUUAUAUUUCAUUUUCCCUUCAUUCUAUGUAUUUAAAUGCAUUUUCCUAAAAGUUAUUACAGAAUAUAAUAAAUAAAAAGUUUAAAAAAAAAGUUUUUUC